rnacentral:rRNA from 1 species
AGAACGAACGCUGGCGGCAUGCCUAAUACAUGCAAGUCGAACGAAGGCUUCGGCCUUAGUGGCGCACGGGUGCGUAACGCGUGGGAAUCUGCCCCUUGGUUCGGAAUAACAGUUGGAAACGACUGCUAAUACCGGAUGAUGACGAAAGUCCAAAGAUUUAUCGCCAAGGGAUGAGCCCGCGUAGGAUUAGCUAGUUGGUGAGGUAAAGGCUCACCAAGGCGACGAUCCUUAGCUGGUCUGAGAGGAUGAUCAGCCACACUGGGACUGAGACACGGCCCAGACUCCUACGGGAGGCAGCAGUAGGGAAUAUUGGACAAUGGGCGAAAGCCUGAUCCAGCAAUGCCGCGUGAGUGAUGAAGGCCUUAGGUUGUAAAGCUCUUUUACCGAGAUGAUAAUGACAGUAUCGGGAGAAUAAGCCCCGGACUAACUCCCGUGCCCAAGCAAGCCGCGGU